rnacentral:rRNA from 1 species
AUGGGGUCAGCGGAGACGUCCGCCACCACUCGGUGGAUUGACCCCGCUGCUGACCUCCGGGAGGCGACGGAGCGGAACGCGCAGGAGAAGUGCAACGAGGAAGAGGCCGCCCGCCUGGAGAAGGUGGAGGCCGAUAAGGCGGAGGCCUCCGCCAAGAAGAAACUGGCGGAGGCCGAAGCCGUCGCCGCGACGAAGCGGCAGGCUGAGGAGGCCGCGCACCGCCAAUCGGCAGUGUUCGUCACCCCGCUGAACUCUACGCCGCCGCCUCCGGAAUUCACGGGGCAGACUGGGGAAGCCGGCCGCGAGAACCCCGUCAUGGAGAAGGAAGGCAGUGACUCCUCCACGCCGGACGUGAUCGUUCCGCCGCCGCCUUCGCCGCCGUCUGGGAGCGCGCAAGGCAAACAGCCAGCGGACCCUCCGGUGUCGCUGACUGAAGACGAGGCCGUGGCGAGGCUACUCCUUCAAGUCGGCUCGCCAACGCGCCGCCGUCUUGAGAAAGCGACCUCGGCGCCAUGUUCCCUGGAGACCGGCACCGCCAGCUCAGUGAUCCCGGAUGCCGAAGCGACGAGCGCCGCGCCCAUUGGGUGGGUGCGGGGAGGAGGCACAGGGCCGCUGAACCAGGCGCUUCUGGACGUCCAAACGAAGCUUCGAGCUGAGGGCGACGCCAUCCAGAACUGCACCAAGGCGUACCUGGCAUCACGGGCAGCCGUCCAGGACUACCACAACCUCCGCGUUACUGCCUUCAACCGUAACAUUGAAGAGCUGGGCAAGCGGACCGCCGACUUGUCGGAGAGCCGGAAAGCCAACGAUGUUCUUCAAUAG